rnacentral:lncRNA from 1 species
CACCAGGCGAUCUAUGGCCUCUGUGGUCAGAUCUCAGCGAGAUCCACAAGCUCUAAUCUCGUCUUCAAUUUUUCAGGCUCCUCCUCCUCCGGCAAUGGCAGUCGGCAUGGAGCAGUUAGACCUGCUGGUUCAGCAGGUCAGGGGCCUCACCGAAGCAGUGCAGGCCAUGCAGCAGCAGCAACAGCAGCCGCAGACAUCUGUGCGGCUGGAAAGAGCAUCGCUGGAGUUUCAGAAUCUGA